GAAAAGGUCAUUUCUAAGGAUAUUGAAACAAGAAUGGCCAAAGUUAAUGAAUAGAAUAAAAAAAUCAUAUUUUCCACACUUCCAUUUGCUUAUGUUAUUUCCACCCCUCGAGAUCUUUUGAUGCAACAAUUUGAUCAUUUUUUUCUUUUCUUUCCUUUCAUAUCUUUUUUCUUUUUCUUUCUAUUUUAUUUUCAUCUUUCUUUUAUUUUUUUCUUAUUUUUCUUAUGCAUGAAGCUACCUCUCCACAACUUAAACAAUUCUUACUUUCCUUUUAAAAAUACUCUUCAUUCUUGGUAAGGAACAUUAAUCAUGAUUAGUUUAGUUUUUGAUUUCAAAGAAAAACUAGAAUGUAUCAAUUAUGAACUUUUUGAUUUUUGGAUGAAAGACAACAAAUUCACCAAGUGGAUUACUUAGUGAUUUGUUU
rnacentral:lncRNA from 1 species